UACGUAGGGGGCAAGCGUUGUCCGGAAUCAUUGGGCGUAAAGCGCGCGUAGGCGGCCCGGUAAGUCCGUUGUGAAAGUCAAAGGCUCAACCUUUGAACGCCGAUGGAUACUGCCGGGCUAGAGUCCGGAAGAGGCGAGUGGAAUUCCUGGUGUAGCGGUGGAAUGCGCAGAUAUCAGGAGGAACACCAAUAGCGAAGGCAGCUCGCUGGGCCGGUACUGACGCUGAGGAGCGAAAGCGUGGGGAGCGAACAGG
rnacentral:rRNA from 1 species